ACUAAUUUGGGAAUGCAGUGUGUAGGUUGUGAAAUGACUCGUUUGACUGAGAAGUCUACCCACGUAGGGCACAAUAAGCCCCUGUCUGUUAUUUCCUGAACAUCUCUCUCUCUCUCCUUUUUAGAUUGUACUUUUCUCAUUUCCUCUGGUAUCGACUCACUUUUCCCCAUCUCUCUUCCCCCUCUCCUCUCUUCCUCCUGUCAGACUACGACUAAGACGGUGAAAAAGACACCAAAGAAGAAGACAACCACCACAGCUACAGCCAGCAACAACGCUGAGUCACCAUGAUAUCUGUAUCUACUGACCCCAUCUACACCUUACUGAACACCACUACAGCCAUGUAACAGGCCCUCUCUGUCUCCAGUCCCCACACACACACACACGGACCUCUGGAGUGUCACCCUCGCCGGUUAAGCACAACUCGCAGGUUUAGUUCAACUGUAGAUGGCCAGCAGGCUUAGUCCUACUGUAGAUGGCCAGCUUCAUGUCAACUCGCAGGUUUAGUUCAACUGUAGAUGGCCAGCAGGUUUUGUUCUACUGUAGAUGGCCAGCUUCAUGUCAACUCGCAGGUUUUGUUCUACUGUAGAUGGCCAGCAGGCUUAGUUCUACUGUAGAUGGCCAGCUUCAUGUCAACUCACAGGUUUUGUUCUACUGUAGAUGGCCAGCUUCACGUCAACAACACUUGUUUUAUUUAACCUGCUGCUUACAUAUUCUAGGUUUUAUAGUCAUUAACCUCAGUGUGUGUGUGUGUUUUAGUGAUGGCCUGUUAUCUGGACUGAAAAAGAGUUGCUUCCUUCCUGCUGUACAGAUAAUAGCCCUCUGUGUUGGGCCCCUCCCAGGCCAUCCAAGGCCUCACACUAGAUUGACAUGACAUAAUCCUCUUGGGAGCAUAGGGCAUCCAUCAUG
rnacentral:lncRNA from 1 species